rnacentral:tRNA from 2 species
GUCCUAGUAGCUCAGCUGGAUAGAGCAACACCCUCCUAAGGUGUAGGUCGGGGGUUCAAAUCCCUCCUGGGACG